UUGGUACUCAAUCAGACGAAAUACGCCAAAGAUACAACUUCGUUUGUCUUCAUUGGCUCCAUAUAUAUAGGCGCUUGCAACAUGAUUAGUUUAAUGAAACAGCACCUACCGGCAUUCGAUCCCUCGAUGGUCAGCAUGCCAACCUCACCCGCUGAUCCUAAAGUCUUCUGUUUGAGUCCAAUGUCCCGAUCCAGUCAUGGAUAUAGCCCACAGCACAGCUCACAUACUUUUUCCAUCUUCAUCCGAUCCGUUCAAAACUAAGAAGUCUGGUAUUCAGUCAGCCCAAACGCUCCAAUGAUACACCGUACCUUGUCUCUCUUCACUGGCUCUCUGUAGAUGCUGGCACCAAGUUCAGAGUAAUGGAAUAGCACCUAACUAUAAGUACUUCCACCCACCUACUGUACGUCCUGUCCCUCUGUGGCCAGAGGACAGCGUGACGUAGAAGUUCUAGAACUGCGUCAACACAGCUGCCCUUCAUAUCGCGAUUAAACCCGAUAGCCAAUGAGAAACGGGAUUACGUAAGUACAGGGUAAACUUGCAAAACAAAUACGUUUCACCGCCCUUUCAAAUAAAAACGGAAAUGCGGUCCACAUGUAAGUUUAUUUUACCACUGCUUUGACCACGCAAUUAUUAGCUAAAUAUAAACAUGGGUCGCUUAGAGAUUUACAAAAAAGCUGUAGUAACUGGUAAAAGUAAUUUUCGUAGCAGCAGCUAGUCGCCUUACUAAUCGUUACCUCCCACUUAUUUUCAUCUAUUUACUAUUUUGCAUAAAAAGAGAGAUCGGAAUCAUUUGAAACUAAGCAUCCAAUCAGAAUCCCCCGGUCCCACUCUGUGUUCCGGUGUCUUGUAUUUCCUAAGUCCCGUAUUUCUUUAGAUUGAAGGUAACAUCCCUACUAAUAGUAAUUGUUCUGUUAUCAUUGUAUUACAUUGAAUUAAUUAGAAUAUAUUAGCUGUGAAAGUUUAUUCCUUUGCUCUUUAGACGUCUAAUUCCAAACAAUGCGCCUGCGAAUAGGUCCUUGUUUAAUGAUGUCAUGGGUAGGAGCUCAAAUUGUUGUAGUCACGACGUAGGGACUCGAGUUGUCCGUCUUUUACAGCUUGUUAGUCUUUGAAGGGAUUAUUUGUAUCGUAGCGCCGGCUGGGCGCAUGUCCCAGCAUGCCUCGCAUGCAAGUUGACAUCUGUGACAGGAGAAUCUGCAGAUGGGCCAGCAGCAUUGUCAGCAGUCUCACCCACCUCACCCAACAAAUCGUCACUCUCAUGAAACCUGUACAGGAGUGUUAAUACCACAACACCCAGACUCCAGAACAGUCUGUACCCCCAGGCCAACAGAAGGAUCAAGGACUGCCACCCUCUGCCAGCUGUGCCCCCACCCCAGGCACUAUGGCAAUGAUCACCCAGCUUGCAGCACUCUGCACCUUACAUGCAUUUGUUGGAGUUUGUGUUAAGCAAAUAAAUGCCUUUUUCUUAAACCAAUCACUGUUUUGUGUUCAUUCAGAAAAGACAGAAGGCAGCAUACUAUCCAAAGAAGCCCCACAGCCAUCAGAUACUGCGAGGGGAGUUCCUCUUUCGAAGUUGGCUGAGUUCGACUGAGAGGCUGACACCUCGCAGUCAGGACCGGACUUCCCUUGCAGCAAGUAAAAAGUCAUUGCAGCUGUCCGUGUUGUUCUGUGUUCAGAGACAGGCUGCUCUUUCAUUGUAGGUUUGGAGGCACUGAGGUUGUCUGUCAGGUGGCUGAGGGAAUGGGCUUCUAUGGCUGAGCAGCUUCAAGCAAGCCUCACAUCAUCAAACGCAAUGCCAAGAGUCGGAUGGAGUGGUGUAAAGCACACCACCACUGGACUGUGGAGCAGUGGAAACGUGUUAUGUGGAGUGACGAAUCAUGCACCUCUGUCUGGCAGUCGUAUGGAUGAGUCUGUAUUUCCUCUUCAACAAUGUAUGGGUAUACUUUUAGAAUUACAUAUAUACACACAAUCAAAAACACAAGUGAAUGAGACAAAUUUAGUUGUUCACUAAGUCAGAUACAACCUGUGGAAGCACAGCUAAAAGCAUACCAUCACCCAUUAUAGAGUGACCCAUUUUCUUUGUAACUGAGUAAUCACAACUAAGUGCAAUUAACUAUAAUGAAAAUGCACACAGAAACAUUAGAGAUAAAUGUAAUUUACUAUGAUGAAAAGCUUGCAAAAUGCCCAUUGUACUUCAGUGUUUCUCCUUUUCUCCAGUCGUCGACAGGUCCUGUGAUUAUUAGGUGAUCUGUGAUGUAGGAGAUCCUGAGAAUGCCUGCUGCUCCAAGGAUGAUUGGCAGGUGGCUUUUCCCAGGAACAGCGGGCUGGAGAUGUGGGAUCUGGAGUGAAGAUAGAAACAGAGGAAGGAAACAAGCACAUUUGGCAGACAGAUCCUUGCAGGUAGACAGCCAAUAAGGAUUGUGUUAUGAAGAGACCUCAUCGUGUUGUGAAAAUAAGGGCUGGAAUUCCAAUGAGGUGUUUUAGGCAGAUGAGAGAAGAGUGGUUUCUGUGGUGAAAGUUACUCCCUUUGC